CUCUCUGAUCUACUGGAGCAUCCACACUGUAAACUGGAGAAACUAGAUCUCACGUGUCCUGGAGUUUCUCACAGAGAGGAAUGAGGAUCCUUCACAUCCACAUCCAGGAGACACCUGACAAGAUUCUUCCCCAGCGCUGGAUCUCCAGUGAACAAGCUCUCCACACCAACCACACCCCCUACACACC